AAAUCAUGUGGCUGGAGGGACAAUAAAAUAAAGAAACAUGGAGGAUAGUGGCACCCGACUGCUCACCCCGAUCUCCACCGCGCACUGGCCGCAAGGUACCAGCACACAUCGAGGGGAUCAUCCAGCUGACCGCAUCUGCCGACUCUGCCAACCGGAUAACAUCUGAACAUCUGGAGUACACAAAAGCAGCGCUCCACAUCACCGGCACCAGGUGACACCCCGCAGCACCGGAGACAAGCAAGAACAUCAGCCACCAGAUCCAGCAGUCAGCGGCCCCGGAACCUUGCUGCAUACCAGCCUAUACGCAUCGCAGAGUUGUGCCUGUUAUGCAGCACAACUCUGAAAGCUUCAUUCAGGACUGAGCUGCCUCCUAGAAUGGCAAGUAUGCUGCCUCAAAGAGGAUUGUGUGGGACUCACACUGGAGGUGAAUGAACGGGAAAGACCUCUGGUAGACCGAAAUAAUUGGGAAACUACUGACUUUGACCCUGUAAAGGACCAAUGGGUUUGUGCGCUGUACAGUAAUACAUUCAUUUGCUAUGAUAAUUAAAGCUUCA